AUUCUUUCACAAGUCACUGAUAGCAAUUUGAGUCAUGCCUCAGUUUGAAAUAAGUCUGCAUCAUGGAGGUUUAAAUGUUAGAGAUAGAUCCUUGGUCGAGGAACUCUUUUCAAACAACAAGAUUCAGGUAUUGAUAUGCACUAGCACACUGGCUUGGGGUGUCAAUCUUCCAUCUCACCUUUUCAUAAUCAAGGUGACAUGAUGCUUCACAUUUUCCUCAUCUUCGACGGUCAUUUAUCUGAGCACUUACUCCAUUCUUUUGUGGGGUACUGAAUACUAUGGUGAGAAAACAAAAAGAUAUGUUGAUUAUGUUAUCACAGAUAUUCUGCAAAUGAUGGGUCGUGCAGGCCGACCACAGUAUGACCAACAUGGCAAAGUUGUUAUUCUUGUUCAUGAACCACAGCUUUUAUAAGAAGGUGGCAUGUUAACUUUGUGUACAUAACAAACAGUCCGAUGCUUAUUCAUCUUGAGUUUAACUCUCAUUAUUGUGAUUGUUUCAGUUCUUGUAUGAACUGUUUCCUGUCGAAAGUAAUCUGAGGGAGCACUUGCACCUUUACUUACCAAAUUUUUGUACUCCGAUGCCUCUAUGGCCAAGACCAGUAGCAACAGCAAGAAGGACAAGCAACAACGAGGAUACCUUUCUAUGAGUCAUUUUCAAUAUUUACUUGCUGUAGGUAAAGGGCAUAGAUUCAACUUACUAUGUCUGUUACGAACAGAGUUCCCUGGAAAUGUGUCAAAACAAAUAGCUGAUAACCGGCAAUUUUCCACCAAAGGAAGCCCGCGUGAUUUAGAUACAGUGAAUAGGUCGACAAGUGUGAGCGCGUCAACAUUGUCGACGAUGAGGAUGGUGGGUCGACUUGCAAAUGAAAUGGUUACUAUUAUGACUGUAUUGCAUUGGUGUUAUGGCUGCCACCUUCAGCUACUGUGGGUUCCGCCACGCCCAGGUAUGCCCAUCUCCAUUGCCUUUCUCUGGAUUCACUGCCCCUCUUGGUUUCUGAUUAUUGUUUGUUCUCAUAUACUCUCGAAUUUCCAUGAGUGCGAUCUGAUGAAUGAGUAUCCCGUCUCUGCGGCAACUCGCAUGGCCUGAUCCGGAAGUACGGGUGUGCUGCAGGCAUUGCUUCCGCACCAACGCCGAGGACAUUGGCUUCAUCGAGUUAUGAGCCACCCCGCUGUUUAUUGAUUCCCUGAAUCAUGUGCCUGAGUUUGAUGACUGCUGAGUAGUAAUAUGUUACCCCAUGCUUUGCUUUGAACAAUAUAUAUGCUUUUGUCUACAAGGCCUCUUGGUAUGGCGCACCAGUUUUAAUUUGUUGGAGACUACCAUCUGGUAGUGUGAGUUAUUGCAUAAUGUAGUGUAAUGUAUGAAAUGUUAGAUCCAGUUAUUCAGGUUAAGUUCUGUGAUCGUCACCUCAUGUUCUGCCCACCAGUUUUAAUUUGUUGGAGACUACCAUCUGGUAGUGUGAGUUAUUGCAUAAUGUAGUGUAAUGUAUGAAAUGUUAGAUCCAGUUAUUCAGGUUAAGUUCUGUGAUCGUCACCUCAUGUUCUGCCUUGCAUUAUUUUGUAUCUGUUUGAUGAAUAUGUAAUUUCUAAGCACCAUAAGGCAUCUUGGAAUGGACCGAGUUGUGCAUGACUACAUGAUAUUAGCUAUGUUUGUUUGCUGUUCACACCUGUAUAAGUCUUACUCUGGUGCAUCUAUCUCCCGUCUCAGCCAUUUUUACUAACCGUCACCUACCAAGUUUUUUUCUCAGCAUACCAGUGCAUUUCAAAGCAGAACAAAUUGAGUGUAUUGCAAUUGCUCAAAUAUUUAUUAAGUAGGUAUAUAUACAUUGCAUAUAUUUAUUUCCUGAAUAACGAUGAUUUCUUAGAAAUUGAGAUGAUUUUCCUUUUGAAGAAUGUUGUUUUCAUUUCUCCACUUUUAUCUCAUUAAUUGUAGGUUUUAUGCUUCAGUUUUUAGGUUUGGGUGAAUUAUUUUUCAGAUGCAUAUGUUGUGUCUGAAUACCUGAAUGUCUGUGUGUAGCUAAUUUCUUGUAUUCAUGUUCUUUUGUAUCAUCCCAAUCUUUUUAUACCGAUAGUGAUAGCUACAUUUGCGCACUUGUUUAAUAGUACCAUUAAGAAUGGAAACCUCAAAGGAAGCAAGGACUAGGAAAUUAUCAUCAAACUGUGGUGUUUCAUGGAGGCCGACCUUUAUCAACAAUGAAGUAAUUGUACCUGGAAAUUGCUUUGAAAUUUUCAAUGCUUUGGAGCUAACUCAUGCUAUAAUUUUGCAGGUAAACCACAUGAUAUUGUUUUCCAGUCGCAUGUUUUUCCUGCACAAACCAUACAAAUUUUAUGAGCUUGCUUCACUACUAUAUGCAAAGGCGCUUCUCUGUCCAGAUCCGUGGCCACCACAUCGCCAUCAACGUCGGCGGCGUUCUGGAAGCGUUAGGGCGGCGGGCCGCGCCUUGCCCAUGUUGUCGUUGACGAUCCACCUGGACGACGGCCGACUGAGAGUUGCGCAGGAACUACAUGUUCGAGGACCACGGCUUGCGCACUGUGUUUCUUAUUACUGUUUGAACUAUGUGUGUCGUACAAUGCUCUAUUUUUGAAAUCUUGUUGUCAGUUCCUUUUACCGAAAAAGGGUUUCCCCCCGCUUUAUAUUAUAAAGCACUAGACACCGAUCACAGGGUAA